rnacentral:rRNA from 1 species
CCUACGGGGGGCAGCAGUAGGGAAUCUUUCACAAUGGGCGAAAGCCUGAUGGAGCAACGCCGCGUGCAGGAUGAAGGCCUUCGGGUUGUAAACUGCUUUUAUAAGCGAGAAAUAUGAUGGUAACUUAUGAAUAAGGAUCGGCUAACUACGUGCCAGCAGCGGCGGUCAUACGUAGGAUCCGAGCAUUAUCCGGAGUGACUGGGUGUAAAGAGUUGCGUAGGUGGCAUAAUAAGUAGCUAGUGAAAUCUGGUGGCUCAACCAUUCAGACUAUUAGCUAAACUGUUAAGCUCGAGACCGUUAGGGGUAACUGGAAUUUCUAGUGUAGGAGUGAAAUCCGUAGAUAUUAGAAGGAACACCAAUAGCGUAGGCAGGUUGCUGGGACGGUUCUGACACUAAGGCACGAAAGCGUAGGGAGCAAACGGGAUUAGAUACCCCAGUAGUC